UACGGGGGGGCAAGCGUUGUUCGGAAUUACUGGGCGUAAAGGCUCGUAGGCGGCCAACUAAGUCAGACGUGAAAUCCCUCGGCUUAACCGGGGAACUGCAUCUGAUACUGGAUGGCUUGAGUUCGGGAGAGGGAUGCGGAAUUCCAGGUGUAGCGGUGAAAUGCGUAGAUAUCUGGAGGAACACCGGUGGCGAAGGCGGCGACCUGGGUAGACUACUGACGU
rnacentral:rRNA from 1 species